UACGAAGGGGGCUAGCGUUGCUCGGAAUCACUGGGCGUAAAGGGUGCGUAGGCGGCCAACUAAGUCAGACGUGAAAUCCCUCGGCUUAACCGGGGAACUGCGUCUGAUACUGGAUGGCUUGAGUUUGGGAGAGGGAUGCGGAAUUCCAGGUGUAGCGGUGAAAUGCGUAGAUAUCUGGAGGAACACCGGUGGCGAAGGCGGCAUCCUGGACCACGACUGACGCUGAGUGAGCGAAAGCCAGGGGAGCAAACGGG
rnacentral:rRNA from 1 species